AGAUGAUUUUUUUUUUCUUAAAUGUUGGACCUUUUUUUCUUUGUAUUUUGCAUAAAAAAACAACUUGGAUUGAAUAAGGCACUUUGCAACUGAUCUUUUACUUGGAAUUCUCACCAAAAAGUUUCUUAAUUCCUAAGGAACCUUUGAAUUAUGGUUCCAAUGAAGACUCCCCAUAUCCCAGCAGAUAAGCAAGAAACAUGAAGAAUUUAAUCUUCUCUUUAUCUCCUUUGAAAUUUUU
rnacentral:misc_RNA from 1 species